GACAUCCACAGAACUUUCCAGAGAUGGAUUGGUGCCUUCGGGAACUGUGAGACAGGUGCUGCAUGGCUGUCGUCAGCUCGUGUUGUGAAAUGUUGGGUUAAGUCCCGCAACGAGCGCAACCCUUAUCCUUUGUUGCCAGCGGUUAGGCCGGGAACUCAAAGGAGACUGCCAGUGAUAAACUGGAGGAAGGUGGGGAUGACGUCAAGUCAUCAUGGCCCUUACGACCAGGGCUACACACGUGCUACAAUGGCGCAUACAAAGAGAAGCGACCUCGCGAGAGCAAGCGGACCUCAUAAAGUGCGUCGUAGUCCGGAUUGGAGUCUGCAACUCGACUCCAUGAAGUCGGAAUCGCUAGUAAUCGUGGAUCAGAAUGCCACGGUGAAUACGUUCCCGGGCCUUGUACACACCGCCCGUCACACCAUGGGAGUGGGUUGCAAAAGAAGUAGGUAGCUUAACCUUCGGGAGGGCGCUUACCACUUUGUGAUUCAUGACUGGGGUGAAGUCGUAACAAGGUAACCGUAGGGGAACCUGCGGUUGGA
rnacentral:rRNA from 1 species